GACGAACGCUGGCGGCGUGCUUAACACAUGCAAGUCGAACGGAAAGGCCCCUUUGGGGGUUCUCGAGUGGCGAACGGGUGAGUAACACGUGAGUAACCUGCCCUUGACUUCGGGAUAACUUUAGGAAACUGGGGCUAAUACCGGAUAGGAAUCCUUGCUGCAUGGUGGGGGUUGGAAAGCUUCGGCGGUUUUGGAUGGACUCGCGGCGUAUCAGCUUGUUGGUGGGGUAGUGGCUUACCAAGGCUUUGACGGGUAGCCGGCCUGAGAGGGCGACCGGCCACAUUGGGACUGAGAUACGGCCCAGACUCCUACGGGAGGCAGCAGUGGGGAAUAUUGCACAAUGGGCGGAAGCCUGAUGCAGAAACGCCGCGUGCGGGAUGACGGCCUUCGGGUUGUAAACCGCUUUCAGCAGGGGCGAAGCUUGUGGUGACGGUACCUGCAGAAGAAGCACCGGCUAACUACGUG
rnacentral:rRNA from 1 species